GAGGCCAAGGAGGGAUCUGUGUGUGGGCACUGUUCUCUUGCCAGGACAGUAAGAUUCCUUCAUAAAGAUUUGUAUUAGUUCUUGCUUGGGGGCUGCAAAACGCUUAACAUCGGGCAGGGGGAGGAGCUGGUGGCAAGCCAGAG
rnacentral:lncRNA from 1 species